GAAGGAGGAGAAGGACAAGGAGAUGGAGAAGCAGAAAGAAAAAGCGAAAGUGAAAAAUAAAGAGAAGAAAUUCAAAGUUUUCAAUUGUGAUGUGAAGAGAAACUAUAUAUUUGAAGGUUUUAACAUUGACGGGGAAGGUCCAGCUGAACUAAUGUCAUCCUUCUCGCAAUGGAUGAAUAAAGGUCUUACAAGCAUCAUGCAAAAAAAUACAAAUAUAAUGACUCUUGUCAAAUGAAAAAUUGAUAGAACUGACACAACAAAGAUCCUAAAGAAGGAUAGGACUAAAUCUAUUAGGAAUAAAAAAAAAUACCACUCUUUUAGAAGAACUUGCAUCGGAAGCAGUUUAUUCUUCUCAAGUAGAAGCAGAAUUUUCUCAAAAAGAAUAUGAAGAAGGAGAAAAAGAAAAAAAUGAAGUUGUUGAUGAUGGAGAAAGAGCAGAACAAGUUGAGGAGGAAGAUAAAAGUGAAAAUGGAGAAGUAGUUGAGGAAGAAGGAGGGAAAAUAGUGAAGUAGUUGUGCAUAGAGAAGAAAAAGAAAAAAAUGAAGCUGAGGAUGAUUAUGGGAUUAAAUUAUCAAUGCAGACACUUUCCUUGUGCAUCUGCAACCUAAUGCUCAUGGUGAUAGCAUUAUUAGGCUAAUGGUGAUAGCAUUAUUAAGCCAGUCAUAGGAAAAUCUUUCAUCAACUUCAGGGGUAUCCUAAUGAGAAAUAAUUUGGAAGACUUUUUUAGAAAUAAUUGGUUAGGUCAUUUUCUUGACAUACCUGAUGAUACAACUACAGGUUUUUAAAUGACUAUCGUUUAUGAACUUCUGAAAAGAAGGUUCAUUUUUUAAAAUCCGGAAAAGGAGAAUGAGAUUUUGAUUAAUUAUUGUGGCAUGCCUGUUUUUUUUUUGGCAGAAGAGAGUUUGACGUAGUUACAUGGUUGAAAUUUCAUUCUUCUCUUGAGCCCCUCCCUGAAUACAUUGUCAAAAAAGAAUCACGGAGAAGAAAUAAAGGAGUAAAAGAAGAAGCAAGACAACAUUCAUUGUCAACUCAGGAGCAUAAUUUAAUGUCCCUUGUUGGCAAAAGCUCGAAAAUUCUCACUUAAUAUUUUUGUACACGAGGAUACACCAAAUAAGUACAAGGAGUCAUUGUGCUUACUUUGGUUUACACGUAAUAUACUUUUGGCGAAAGAUCUCAACAACAUAUUGCUUAAAUGGGUGAAUUUUUGUCAUGAUAUUAAGUUUUUGAUCAAAUAUCCUUGGGGUCAUUACAGCUUUCAAUUAACUCGCAGAUACUUAAAGAAACCUUUAGGAGCAAAGACCAGUAACUUGUUUGGGUUUCCAUGGACUUUCAUGGCUUGAUAUUUGAAAUCAUUACUCAUUUGACCCAUCAACUAUAUCAAGAAGAACAGAUGUCAUCUCCAAGGAUAUUUAGAUGGUUGAGAUCAAAAAUAAAAUCUACAAAAGAUGAGCAUAUUCCAGAUCUUUUUAACCCUCCUCUGGAUGCAGUAACUUAUUAGUAUAUUACACUCUUAUGUUGUUACAGAUGACUCUUAUGUUGCUAUAGAUGAUUCAUCUUUUGCAACAUAUGACAGAAAUGUUGCUACAGAUGCCUAUAUGUGUUAAGUUAUCACACAUCUGUAACAACAUAUGACACAUAUGUUGCAACAUAUCACCCUUCUGUAGCGGCAUAUGGAAAAACUAUGUCAACAUGUGACACAAAUUUUACUACAGAUGCCUAUAUGUGUCAACCCAUCAAACAUAUGUAGCAAUAUAUGACACAUAUGUGACAAUAUAUCACUCAUCUUUAGCGACAUAUGCCAUAUCUAUAGCAACAUAUAACCCAAAUAUUCUUCUGGAUGGCUCAUUUUUAUAAUUUUAGGUUGUGCAUUCAUGGCUUGUCCCAAUAGAAAACGAAUUGCAAAUGUCA